UGCAUCAACACAUACAAAAACAUAUUUAUAACCAUGAGAUGUUGGCAAACUUCCAAUAUAUAGUAAUCCAAAAAGUACGUUAGAUAUUAAUAUUUCAAUAAACAGUACAUCAGUAAUGUGGCAAUAAGCAGAUUACUAAACACACGAAUUACAGUAUUUCCCAUAUUGUGACCAACAAUAUUCCUUUUCAGGAGUCAGAAGUACAUUACCUCUCUCUAUAAGAGCUUGUCCUAGC